ACUGGUAGUAAACUUAUCCCUCUUCCCUCUAGUCGCCGCUGCCCUCGUCCCUCUAGUUUUCUUCAUCCUCAACCUCAAGAUCAAAGACCGUAGGAUGUGGUCUUCAAUCUUAAUCUCUCAAGCUCUCAUCUUCCUCAAAUUUUCACAGACUCUGGUUUCCUUUGUAAGAGGCCAAAGCUGAAAUUUGCAUGUGUGUCGUCACUCUUAAAGCAACAUCACAGAACAAAAAAAAGAUCAAGGCGCAUGAGCACCAUAGGCUAUUCUUCAGAGUUGCCUCACCUUUGGGGUCUUCUGUUUAGGGCUGAAUAAGCACCAAUCGGCACUGGCACAUCCACUCUCAAUGAGCAAGAGUACACACACAAUGUUCUUCCCCCCUUUAUGCUUCUACUGCCCAGUGAUAUAAGAGAAGCCUUCUUUUAAUUUUGGAAAUCCUUAAAACAACCCAAGAAGGGUUGAUGAAUAUCCCUCUAGACAUUUUUUGAAGUGGUUAUACCAUAUACACUUUAAUCAGUUGGAUUGGGAGGUUGAAGUAGUCGACAUGCUGCCCUUCUUAAAUUGAAUGGGGAAUGUGGAACAUUGUUCUAGAUUGUAAGCUGAAUAAUGAAAAUAGGCUUUUUCUUUCAUUGUAUACCAGUGAAUCAAAAGUCCAAUCACAGGUUUGUAAUGUUCUUAGAUCAUUCAAUUGUUAAAAAAAGUGUAAUUCUUGUAACUUAGAUUACAUUUUAAAGACAUGAUUCCUUUGGAUA